CAUCUUUUACGAAGGUUUCAAUCUUCAAAUUUUUGUCAAAAGUUUUAAAAAUAAUUUCAGCCAGUUCAACUCCGGCAAGAAUAC
rnacentral:tRNA from 1 species